CCUGCAGACGCAAGGCAGAGGCCUCCAGCCGCUCCAGCGACCCCGGCGCCUUCCCGCGCUGCGCCCGUCCUCGCCUCAGGCGGCGGCGGGCACGGAGCGGCGGGAGGGGGCGGAGCACCUCUGACGAGCAGGAGGAGGCGGGCGCCCCUUCCCGCAACUGCUUCGGCUGUGAGCGGCCCCCGCCUCCUCGCCGGUACCGGCCACGGCUGUACAGUGUCCGGCUAUCUCCUUCAUCCUUCCCGGGCCGGGGUGCCGUUCCUCACAUCUCCGCACCUCGCCACCCAACCCGCCGCACCGCCCCCGGGGUCGCCCCCUCCCGCCCUUUCCUUCCACUGACGCAGUCUUUGCCGCACCAGCUCUAACAUGGCGGCGAGGCACUGAGGAGCGCGGGGCGACGCGGGCCGCGAGCGGGAGUUUUGGAAGGAAGAAGUGAGCCAACUUCUCAGGAUUGCCCUGCAAAGCACAUUUUUGUGUGUCUGUCUGAAGUAACAACUUCACAAAGGAUGUUCAAGUAUAUUGAAAAAGAAACGCUCAUUUGACUUUUAGGUAGGUAGGAUAAAUAUCACUGAUAUUUUAGCCUGGCUUACUAGGCAAUGUCAGCUCAAGAGUUAGGUAUAUUUACUUGGCCUGGUAUUUGACCAGUCAGGGUGUUCAUACUGACCCUUUGACAUAACUGUCAUUUAGAACCAAUUGCAGUCAGUGCUCAAGGGAUUUUAUUGGAGGAUUUAGGGAAAGUGCAGGUAACAUUUAGAACACGGAAUAGGCUUGAUUUAUUUCAUGUUUUUGAGGCAAGAGAGAGGUAGAAAACCAUCAAAUUGAGCUAAAGGUUGUGAGAAUAGGGAUUCAGGUAGACUUCUUCAUUUAUUCCGUCUCUCUCUCACCCAGUUCUCCAUAAAACUGAGUUAAAAAUUGACUGACAUAAGUAUACUGACAUUUAUUUUACAGUUUGGCUUUAGUCAUUAUCAAUGCUUGAAACAAAAAAAUUGUGUGAUAUAUAAAGAUAGUUUCAUUUGUUUUGG